rnacentral:rRNA from 1 species
UACGAAGGGGGCUAGCGUUGCUCGGAAUUACUGGGCGUAAAGCGCACGUAGGCGGUCUUUUAAGUCGGGGGUGAAAUCCUGGAGCUCAACUCCAGAACUGCCUUCGAUACUGGAAGACUUGAGUCCGGGAGAGGUGAGUGGAACUGCGAGUGUAGAGGUGAAAUUCGUAGAUAUUCGCAAGAACACCAGUGGCGAAGGCGGCUCACUGGACAUUUACUGACGCUGAGACGCGAAAGCGUGGGGAGCAAACAGG